GUAGGUGAACCUGCGGAAGGAUCAUUACCAAAUCCAAAAAAAAAACUUUAUCAACACCCUUAUGUGAACUGAGAAACCGUUUCGUUCCCUGAGAGAACAGCACAAAGAAGGUAGAUUUUAUUUAUCUUCUGGACCUGCUUCUCAGGGGAUGUUUAUUUUUCAACCCCUUUACAACCUAUUCUACCCAUACAUUUAUGCUGAAAGCAAAAACAAAAAAAAACGAAACAUGAGACAACUUUUAACGGUGGAUCUCUUGGCUCGU
rnacentral:misc_RNA from 1 species